rnacentral:lncRNA from 1 species
CAUUAUACACUUGAUUUAAAUAUCUUUUAACUGAUAAUAUUUUCUUAUAUAACAUAGAUAUGCCUAAAACAAAAGUGGAAUAGAUUUUCUAAGUUGCAGCUUAUUACAAAAACUGGUUUAUCACAUAAACAUUAUUAUGCAAACAUAGCAAUGUUGCAAGCACUUAAAAUAAACAGAUCAAUUACAUUCACAACACAAACACAAGCUAUCAAAUGUUCUUCCUCUGCUUGAUUUUCCAGUCCAAGUAUUUCUCAACAACAUCGAGUCCACAAAGCUCCUUCACAACAGGCAUUGUUGCUGGAACAGGCAAAUCAAAGCUCAGAUCAACCCCUUGUUGGUUAUUACUCCAUGUAUGAACCUGUUUAUUUGCUUCUUUAACAGCUGCUCGGACCGCACAGUGAACAGAAUUUCGUGGCGGAAACGAAUCCAUUUGUUUCCACCAGUUGGACGUUCUCCUGUUAGUCUUAGCUUCCUUGUUGUGGUUACCGCCACCUUAACUUGUUCUUUCUUGAAACCUAAUCACAUAAGACAAUGCAUUAUGAGCUUUGCUUGGUUCUUACCAAACUACUUAUCUCUCUUCUUUCUGUUCAAUGUAGAGAAAUGAAACAUGAAUAAACAAGAUUGAGAAGAAGAAGAAGAAGACAAAGAACCUGGAAGAUCAACGACAAGGAUCUCAGCGUCUGGUUCAAAGGUCCAUCUAGUUGCAGGCUCAAAUUCUUGGUAGAUUCUAGUUGCAGCCAUUCUCUCUCUCACUCUCUUUUAUAAUCUUUGGUUUAAAUAGAAGUUAAUGUUUAUGUGAUGUGAGAAAGCAGAGAAACAUCAAAUGAAUUUAUAGGCAAAGAAGAUUAUUAGACAGCAAAGAGUUUUGUUUGAUUUGGUUUUAGUUUGAAGAAACGAAGGCUUAGUUCUUUUGGUUUUCUUUGUCUUGAAGCUUUUAAUGAUUCUUUGGAUUGAGUUCAAUAUUAAGUAUACCUUUAUUAUUUGUUAUAUUCAUAUUUUUUUAUUUUCAUGUACGUAUGAGAAUAAUAUUUUCUUAUACACAUGCAACGUUGCAUGAAGAUGAAUCCAAACACCCCCAUUGUUAUGCUCACCAUCCUUGCAUUAUACACUUGAUUUAAAUAUCUUUUAACUGAUAAUAUUUUCUUAUAUAACAUAGAUAUGCCUAAAACAAAAGUGGAAUAGAUUUUCUAAGUUGCAGCUUAUUACAAAAACUGGUUUAUCACAUAAACAUUAUUAUGCAAACAUAGCAAUGUUGCAAGCACUUAAAAUAAACAGAUCAAUUACAUUCACAACACAAACACAAGCUAUCAAAUGUUCUUCCUCUGCUUGAUUUUCCAGUCCAAGUAUUU